UGAAGGGUCUGUUUCCAUGCUGUGUGACUCUGAGGAGGUGGGAAGUGGUGCAAGAUCAUUGAAGGAAAUAGAAAACUGGCAGUGGAAGUGUGAACAUUAGAUUGACAGCAUCCACCAUGUUUUGCCACUGUAAUGUGAAUGCCCGCUUAAUCUCUGCUGCAGGAUGGGGUAAAGCUGUUGGAGAUCUUAUUUUUACAGGUUCCCCAAGUCCUCCUUCCACACCUACUUUGCUGAUAAUAUCCCAUUGAGAUACAUAAUGUAUGCUAUGAUUCACCGCGAGCAAUUGAAAUACAUAUGCUGGUAUAAAGAAUAUUAAUGUUGACUUACACCGCUUGCUGGUUGGGUAUGGAUACUGUUAGGAUGGAGCUGGAAGUGGAUUGCUGUCGCCACCUAGAAAUCAAAGGUAUGCAGUGAUCAAUCUAAAAUCAACCCAGUCUAACACCAUGUAAAAAUACAUUUGAAAUCUCUAAAGCAAUGUGAUAACAAGAUUCUCAGACAACUUAGAUUUACACAAAGCACAUGAUUUGCUUAACCAAAACUACUGGGAGAAUUUUCCAGCAUCUUAGAGCCAUCUUACUUUCCAAACAGUCUUACAAAUAAUCCCAUUUUCUUUAGGAUAACUCAAUUGGUGCUGUCAGCCUUGGUUCAACAGUAGUGGUUCUUACAUCUGCGUCAGAAAGUUAUCAGGUCAAGACCCAUUUCACAAACUUGAGGCCAUCACCUAGGCUGGCAUUUCAGCGCUGCAGCAUUCAACCUGCUCUCGCUCAUAUGAGACGUAAAAACAAAAAUUCCAUCAUCCUAAUGGAAUGUCAGCCAUACAUCUCAAAAAAUUCUGAAUACAGUUAUAGAUCCCAUCUGAAGUACUGCAUUCAUUUUUGGGUAAUGCACAUCAGAAAAUUCACAGGACGGGAUUUAGUGCUCUGUGCACUAAGUGUUGGUGCAUAAAACUUAAGGACCGACUACCUGCUUGCCCAACCAACGUGAAUGUUUGCCAGAUCAAGCAACAAUGAUGCUCGAGUGCUGUCCAGUGAAAUUAAUUGUCCAAUCAGGAGCAUCACCACUGAAAUCUCACCCCAUCUGAGCUUGUUAGCAAAUCAAGAGGCCAACAGCCUCAGGGAGCUGGAGACCAUCAUUGGUGGCUUAGGCUGUGCAGUCAUGAAUGGUUGGACUGGCAAACAGUUACGUCUUUUUUGGGGUGGUCAGGCAUUAAAGGUAAUAUAAUGGCUUUGCUUAAAAAAAAAGUUAAUGUUUUUACACAGUCAAUUUGAACAUUCAGAGGGAAUUUAGAUAAACCUCGAUGUGAAAAUAGAGUCAAGUUUCAGAUGAACUUUCAAUUGCAUUCUCGGAAGGUGAUUGACACUGUUGAUUUUGCACCAAAUGCUGGCACAAGACUCUUACUAUCCAGCAGUGGAAACCCGCUGUUACAAAGCUUUGAUAACUUAGGGAACAAAGGGGGAAGAUAUGCUUUAAAAGACAGGUGAAUGUCAUUGCCUUCAGACCAAAUCUUUUAAAAUGUGUGGAAAAAAAAAUGAGUGGAAUAUGACUCAGGAUGCUCUAAGUGUAUGUACACGUAGAGCUACCAUUGAGACUGUUGCCUCAAGACUGGUUGACUGCAGUCUGCUGGCUGAGCAUCACAGAUAGCUAUCCAAGACAGCCAACAUGUAAUUGCAUUUGUAUUUUGAGGAAAGAGUCAUAAAAAGAAAUACAUUUUGGGUUGGCACAUCAACUGGAACAGGUUAAAAUAUUCAGUCAGGUUACAAACCCUCAUAGUAAAGCUUGACCAACCUCCCAACAACAUUGCACCUUUGAAACAGAUCCUAUGUAUAAUGUUUUACAAUAUACAUAGGUGAGGUACAAGUUUAAUUGUGGUUUACUAUGCACAGGAUAAAAAGACCCUCACAAUUAUAUCUCAGUUGCUAAUCUUAUUUUGGCUCUGUUGCUUCCAGUGGAGAGUUUCAACCACUGCAUGCACAUAUUAUGAAUCCCCAGAAGCCAAAGAUAGCCAACCCCCCACAUAUUUUAAAAUUUUAACCCCAUAAUAUUUGUGAGAUGUCAUCAACAGAUUUACCACCUGGAAGCCAGUCUUGUUAACAGGUCUAGCUUUCAGUCAGUCAGCUGUUAGUCCCCGGAGGGGUAGGGCUAGGGAUUCAGAGACUUGGGGAGAUGGGAGAUGAGAGAUAGUGUUAUCACAGGUUUUAGUGGGAAGUUUGGACGUCUAUGGGUUUGGGAAUUAGCAUUGCACGUAUGGAGUUGUUAGCUUUACAAACACACAAGAAGUUACCACAGGGUUGCUCUCUCAUUGGAGAUAGACUGGUGGUGGCCCAACCGGAGGGUCACUAUGCCUCAGGUGAGGGGAGAAGUUGAGAAGCACAGUCCUUCAUGGUAAUCUCAGCCUGUGCAAGAAUUGAACCCACACUGUUGACUUCCU